UACGAAGGGGGCUAGCGUUGCUCGGAAUCACUGGGCGUAAAGGGUGCGUAGGCGGGUUUUUAAGUCAGGGGUGAAAUCCUGGAGCUCAACUCCAGAACUGCCUUUGAUACUGAAGAUCUUGAGUUCGGGAGAGGUGAGUGGAACUGCGAGUGUAGAGGUGAAAUUCGUAGAUAUUCGGAAGAACACCAGUGGCGAAGGCGGCUCACUGGUCCGGUACUGACGCUGAUGUGCGAAAGCGUGGGGAGCAAACAGG
rnacentral:rRNA from 1 species